rnacentral:tRNA from 3 species
AGUUAAAUAGCUUAAAUUUAAAGCACAAAUUUUUUAAGUUUGGGAUGUCGAUGAUUUUAGCUA